GUGCCAGCAGCCGCGGUAAGACGGAGGGGGCUAGCGUUGUUCGGAAUUACUGGGCGUAAAGCGCGCGUAGGCGGAUGUGCAAGUUGGAGGUGAAAGCCCUCGGCUCAACCGAGGAAUUGCGCCCAAAACUGCCGCGCUCGAGGGAGACAGAGGUGAGCGGAACUUAGGGUGGAGCGGUGAAAUGCGUUGAUAUCCUAAGGAACACCGGUGGCGAAAGCGGCUCACUGGGUCUCUUCUGACGCUGAGGCACGAAAGCUAGGGGAGCGAACGGGAUUAGAUACCCCGGUAGUCCUAGCUGUAAACGAUGAGCACUGGGUCGGAGAGUCUUCCAUAACUUUCCGGCCGAAGCGAAAGUGUUAAGUGCUCCGCCUGGGGAGUAUGGUCGCAAGGCUGAAACUCAAAUGAAUUGGCGGGG
rnacentral:rRNA from 1 species